rnacentral:lncRNA from 1 species
UUUUUUGAUAUAAAAUUUUUCUUAUCUGCUACUUGCUAGAGUUCUUAAUCAAAGUUGGGCAAAGCGAUAGAUUUUGCCUCAACAGUAAUUAAACAAAAAUUGCACCAAUUGAUUCGGUGAAUACAGCCGUAUCAAUCGAUUCAUGUUUUAUUACGAUUCUAGUUCUAAUUUAUUAAGACUCUGUUUAGAUUACAAAUUUAGUAGAAAAAAUAAAACUUAAUGAAUUACAAUAAAAAAAAACGUAAUUGAUCAAACAAUUCACAUUUGAUAUUUUUCUUAACUUUUCUUUUUCUUCCACAAGUGCUCUAUUAAUUCUUGAUCCAAUAAAAAUUUAGGAUUUCACUAGCUUUACUUUAUCUUUUAUAAGCACUUAGAAUAUAUUUAUAUUAGGGAUACAAUUGACAAAAAAAUGAGUGUAAAAUUUAUUAAUUUUUUAUAAAAAUUUAUUAAUUUUUUAUAAAUUUUUAAAUUUUUAUUUUUUCUCAUAAACUACAAAAGCCAUAAUUAUUCCAAUAAGACGAUUGGUAGUAAUCCCUCUAUCUUUAUUUUUAUUAGGUUGGUAGUGUGAUUGCCAACUUUUAUUGGGUUAGUAGUGUGAUUGCUAAGUUAUAGAUCCCAACACCAUUACAAUGGGAGUUGAGUUUAUCAAUAUUCAAGAUAGUUAGGGGCCAACCCAUUUUUCUAUUUUUUGCUUUAAAUAAAAUUUAGUUACUGUUCAUAUGGCAACCCCCCCAAAAAACACUAAAAGAUGAUAUUGUUGACCUACGUUUUUAGGUGGGUAAUUGCACUAAUGGGUAAACCGUAAUGAAAUAUUUGGUGGGUAAAACGGUAAUGUUGUAAUUUUCUGGGGCUCCUUUAACUCCUUGUUUGGUUAGUAACUUUUGAGACUUUUCAAAGUCAAAAGCUAAAAAAGCUAGACGUAGGAGUCACUGACAAUAACAGAAACCCACCUUAAGAUUUUUGGAAUGACAACCUCCUUCCCAGUCAGAGAUGUCUGCCUAACAGUGCUAUAGGAAAUUGUAUUUUUACUGAUUUACCCUAAAAAAGAAUGGAUAUGUUUUUCUACAAUAGUUAGUAACCAAAAGACAAAAAUGCCUAUUUUCCCUCUCCCUCUCCCUCUCCCUCUUGUAGACAAACCCAUUCAAAAUCAUAUGUACCCAUGAGAGAGAGACUCUUGUAGACAAACCCAUUCAAAAUCGUAUGGAUAAAUUACACUGACCUCUCCUGAGAUUUCAGAGUUAAUACAAAAAAUACCCUUGGUGUUUGAAAAAUUACAAUGACCUCCCAUGAAGGAUGUUGAUUUGAUGUCAGAUGUGUUUUGUUAUUAAAGUCAGAAUUUUCAUGGGUUGGUCAGUGUAAAUGGGAUAUAUGUUACAAUGCAAUCCUCAUGGGAGCAUUGGGUAAUUUCUCAAACGUCAAGGUUAAUUUUUAUAUAUUAAUUCCAAAUCUCAAUGGAGGUCUUGUAUUUACCCAAAAUCAUAUGUACCCGAUAGAGAGAGAGAUAGAGAGAGAAGGGUGGGGGGGGGGGGGGGGGGGGGUAUUGGCCAUUUAAGUCGUAUAUAAUGUAGGGUGAAUACAUUGACUCCCCUGAGUUUUUUUUUUUAAUAAAAGUACCCCUGACGUUUGAACAAUUACGGUGACUUUUCCUGAGGUGUGAAAUAUUAUGCUAACACCCCCUACCCCCUUUUCUCCCUUUUCCUCUUAUGAAAUGACCAAAAUGCCCCCUCUCUCUCUCGCAUCCAUCCCCCUCUCUCAUCGUUUUUUUACUUUAUUAUAAUUUUUUUUAAGACCAUUUAAUUCCAUGUUUUUAAUAAGAUUAAUUCCCUUUUGUUUUUUGGUUUUUUUUCUUUGUAAGUCUUUUAUUUUUUUUAAAUUUUAUAUUUUAUUAUUCUUUUUUUCUUUUAAUGACCUUUGAUUAAUUUUAUUUAAAAAAAUGAAUCCUUUUUUUUAAUUUUUUAAUUUUUUUCUUUAUGUACUCUUCGAUGUUUUUUAUUUUUACUUUUUUUAUUAUUUUUUUCUUUAAUAAUCUUUAAUUAAUUGUUUUAUCAAGAAUGAAUCACGUUUUGUUAUUUUUUUUAUUUUUUUGUAUCUUUUAUGUUUUUUUGUAAAUUUUUAGUUUUUAUUGUUUUUUUAAUACCAUUUAUUUUUUCUUCUCUAAAUACUCUUCGAUUUAUUUUUUUUAAAUGUUACAAAUAAUGUCUCCCAAAAUUAGUUACAAAAAAAAAAAGAAUCAAAGGGUAAAAAAAAAAUUAAAAAAAUGAUCAAAGGUUUAAAAGAAUAAUAAAAAUAAAACUAAAAAACAAAUAAAGAGUACAAAAAAAUAAAAAAAGAAACAAAAAGUGAGUCCUUUUUUAUUAAAAAAAUUAAUCACAGUAUUAAGCGAAAACAUAAUAAUAAAAAGUAAAACAAAAUAACUAAAAAAAAAAAAAAAAAAAGAAGAGGAUUACAUCAAGAAAAAAAUAACAAAAAAUAACAAAAAAGGAUUCAUUUUUUAAAUCAA